CUUGCCACAAGGUAGAAGCUCUUAUUUAUCUUAAUUUAGUUCUACUAUCUGACCAAUUCUGAGUUCAUGUGCAGUUAUGAUGACUCCUAAAGUGUCAUUCGAGGAAUUCUGGGUAAAAAACUUAUCUAACGAAGCUAUCACUGUAGCCAUAUUUUCCCUUGUUCACCAACAGAUGGGAGCAGCUGAGACAGGAGCAGAGCUCCAUCUAGAGCUUCAGGCCAUCAGGCUUCCAUAGAUAUUCGGACACAUUAGUGGUGGCAGGGGUUGCCUCAGCUGAGAAUGUUGAGUAUCUUUGGCAUACUGUUUGCAGCUGUGCCCAUGGUGUCUGACUUCCUCUCUUGCAAGGGUCUCAAGUCGCUAGUGAAAAGUAGCCGAGGUAGUAUGAAUCCAUGCUGACACAGGGGCCUUUGGCGAGGAAGUGGUACCUAUGCACCCCUCAGGCUGGACCUUUGCACGGGGGUGAAUUUCACCCCAAACUUUCCAUUGGGCAUUACAGUUUUGGUUCCUUAGUUAGCCAAAUUCCGUAUUAUUGCUGAGCACAGCAUACACAUACAUACAGAGAGGGGCUGAAGCUGAUGUGACAUUUUUAAAUGAAUAUCAAAAGUAAAGUAAUAAUGAUGUGACUGAUGUUCACUCAAACAGCACAGAUGACGCUCUAUCAGAUUCCAUACUUCCUGAAUAUGAAUUUUUUGGUUUCUGGAAUGAUAGUGGUUGGGAUAGUUUGUCUUUUUUUUUUUUCUUUUAAAGAGACAUAUGGUUUGAUGUAUAACUUUCAGGAAGAAGUUAUUUAUUUUUAGUAGUGUUGCUCUCAUUUACCAAUGAAGCAUUAGAUGCUAACAGAGUUUGUAUUAUAUCCUCCUUGUCAUCUUACUGAGAGUCUCGGCCUGAGAUGUUUAGAAGAUUUCACUUUAACAAAGUCAUAUUAAAUAUACUUUGAUUGUCUUUCCUUUUGGCUAUGCUUCUGUUUUGUAGAUAUUAUAGAUCAUUAAUUACAAAUGUAAUCUAUAUAAAAUGGAGGAGGGGGAAAGAAAAAGAUUAACUAGCCCUGCACUUACACAUAUUAAAAUGACUUUGAAGUCAAGGGGAAAAAAAGAGAGCUUGGAUUUUAAAAGGUCACGUCUGGCAGAGAUAGUUGAUUUUCAGACAGACACCACGCUCUCCCUACGGCAACGGAUGGAGAAAAGGAGCUGGGUGGGCACUUUUUGCAGAAGUUUAUUAAAGUUCGCUACCUUUUGGAA